GCAGUGCAGGACUGGAGUGAACCAUUUUUAGAGCUAAUCAGAACCCACUUUUAGUUUGAAAGCCCAACGAAGUGUUUCUGCAGUGACAGAUCAGGCAGAGGCUUGUCGGUAUGUGAAAAGUAGCUCAUUAUCUAAAAAGGUACCUAUUAAGAACAACCAAUCCUAGCAGUUUUAGUGCUCCAACUGGUGACACAGCCCUGGCAUGUUUUACUAUGGCUUUUCUGAAACAUUUCUGUUAAUUCUUCAGCUCAAGGUGUCAGAGGUGGUACCAACCUUUAAUAUUUGCUCAAGGAGCAUGUCUACGUAAAUAUUCAUCUUGAUUGCUGUAGUGAAUUCUGCAUGGGGCUGCCCUUGAAACUUCACCCAAUACAAAAUGCAGGUAGCCUGUUGGUUUAUCUAGAGCCAUAUAAGCCCAAUUCUGGGAGAGCUCUGGUGGCAUCCAGUUACACCUCCAACUUAAAUUCAGUGUAUUGGUUUUUACCUUUACUGUGCAACCCUAUAAACAUCUACUCAGUAGUAAGUCCCAUUGCGUUAAACAGGACUUACUUCCAUUGGGGCAAGAAGGGAAAAUAAGAAGUAUCCCUGCUUUCCAUUACCAACGGUACAUUCAUUUAUUGGUGGCUUAUAUGAAGGCUUAACAACUCAUUUCCUAUAUAUUUAUUCUUCUAGAGGCAAAUCAGCAGUGGUCCCUUACUUUUUGGAAAACACUAGACUAGAGAACACUAGAGAACACUAGACUUUUAUGAAAUGCACAUGGUAUCUCAUUGCUCUUCUAAGGUUUUCAGCUGGGGCAUUACAUUGAAAACAAUGAGCAACAUGUGCCAGACAUUUUAUUUUCCUUAUGUGUGCAUUUCUUUUUCAAUCACACCUUGAUUAAAAUUUGAUAAAACAGCUAAACACCCAGCUCAUGCACAGCAAUUUGGCCAUUGCUUAUGCAGAUGAAUUGUGCUAUGUUUCCACAAUGCUAGUACAGUAGACUCGCAGUGGAGCAUCAGUACCUGUUUGGGUGCCUCAAUGUUGACAAAGGCGAAUCCACAGGCAGUCCACUUUAUAGACAGAAGCUACAGCAGCUGAAAAACAGGAGCUAGUCUCCAGAAAACCUCUGACCUUGGCUUGUGACAAAAAUGUAGUGUCCACAUCUUUGCUGGAUAUAAACCACAAAAGUGGGAAAGGAUUGUUGAGCAAUGUUCACCUACAGGUCCAGGAAAUGAAAUACUGUAGCAGAACUGAGGAACAAUCCCACCACUGAAAAACACCAAAGUGAACAGUACAUGUUUGUGAGGCUGUCUUAUGUCCAGCUGUAGUGGGCAGAAAUGUAAAGUGGAGUGACACGCUUGUCUUCACAGUAGGAAAAGCUGUAGAGACCAGGUUUCUGGGCUGGGGGCCAAGAAGGAAACACUGCUGUCAUAGACCUUUGGAGGAAACACAUGCCAAAUGCAGGAUGGCUGGAGGGGCCAGGACGUCUGAGCUUUCCAAGUGUUUUUGGAUUGGAGCUGUAGCACCACAGAUUUCUUUGUAUCAGUGGCACCUGCCCGGGCCCCAUCUCCUUCCAAGGAAUGAAUCAGUCCUGUGGAAUUCAGGAAACUGGUUUGUCCAGCAGCUCUAGAAGGCAAGCACUACUGCUCCCUGUGAUGCCUCAACUCUUCCCUGUGGCAUCUGAGCUAGCAGCUUGGUUUCUGGCUUUGCUGCCAAGUUUUGGUGCCGCCCUCUCCUGGGUUGCUCCUCAACUCUGCACAGCUCUAAUUGAUGGGUGGAAACCUGCUUUGGGGAUUUUGGAUGAGGCGCCAACAGAGCACUGGACUGGUGUGGGCACAGUGAAACAAACAAGGGAUUUCAACAGCCGGCUGUCCGACAAGAAAAACAAGCCAAGCCUCUGCAGUUUCCUGGGACCAGGGAAGUCCAAUUCAACUGGAAUUGUAGGAAGCACGUUCCCAACCAGGCCUAGUGUUUUUAUGCAGCCUGGUGUUCUUAUGCAAUCUAUUUUGCAAUUUCUUCAUUAAUUUCCAUUCCACCAUUCACUAACCCAGGCCUUUGGCUUUUGGCUUGGACAUGAGCCAAGUACACAUCAUAGGUAUCCAAUAAAUACAUUAGAUUUCUAGAGGUGGCGGGGCCACAGUGAAGCUCAGCCAGUUUCUCAGGCUAAUAAAUUAAAUUGCUUAGCUGCUUCAGUUGCAGUAUAAUUUAGAGAAAUUUUUGCAGGGAAGGAAACUGUCUUAUAUAAGACUGGAUAUCCCACACCCAGUACAAUAUUUGGUCAUCAGAUCUGUCAAAUCCUCUACCAGCCAGCAGAUAAUUAUUUUGUUUUCUGCUCUUGCUAGUUACGCUGUACAUUUCCUGAAUUCAAAUGGCUUGGGCAUGCCAAACUCUCUGUGCUCACCUCACACUUUUCUUACCAGUUGGGUGAGCAAACACUGUUCUAAAGCAGGAAGAGAAGCUGCAGGAUGCUAGAAACCACAAUCAAUCCUUUCUCCAUCAUCUCAGAUUGCAGUCCAGAUAAAGGAUUAUACUGACUUUCCACCCUUGAAUUCAGAAAAACGCUUCAAGAAGAUUCCCUCUUAUCACCACCCCCUACCUACCCACCCACCCACCUCCCUACCGAAGAAACAGAGGCAAGAGAGUCAUCUCCAUUGCUGUCUUAUGCAUGGCCCCAUUUCUUCUCGCUGCUCUAACUGGCCUAGGUAAGACUGCAAGAACUGGUUGUGGAGCAACGUAAGCAUGUGUAUUGAACGUUCAUUACAGUAUAAAUGCCAUGGUCAACAAUAGCAGAAAUGUUAGGGGAUGCUACAGUGGAAAGAGAAAGCAACAAAUGUGGAGCCAAAGGUGUCAGGCAGAUUUUUAUUCCAGGAAUUGCCAGGUAGAACUUCCAUUUCAGGACUCAUCACUCUGGCCCAGAACCCUCAAAUCCAAAAACUGGGGCACCAAGCAGCAACAGAACAGAGGGACAGAACAGUCGCACCCCCAUUCUCCCCAUUGCCUAUGGAGAAACUGGCCCAAGCCCAGAUGACCCUGCCUGCCCUCUGGAUUGAUGAGCCCAAUUGGUUUGGCUUUCAGUGAGCUUUUGGACCAGACUUACACAUUCUGGAGCUGAACAUCUUGUCACUUACAAUACAAGGCACACACAACUGGAGCUUCUAAGACAGGCACAGCAUGAGGACCAGCAGCGGAGCAAGCCAAUCGGGUGCCUGGGGCAGCGAGCAUGCCCUGUGCCCAGGGGCAGCACCAGCCGGAGCAGGACACUCCGCGG